rnacentral:sRNA from 1 species
ACUUACCCUUCCACCUCUGUCAUGUGAGGACACAGUGUUUCUCCCCUCUGGAGGAUGUAGCAACAAGGCACCAUUUGAAAGCAUAGAGCAGCCCUUAUGAGACAACUGAAUCUGCUGCCACCUUGAUUUUGGACUUCCAGCCUCCAGAACUGAACUCCAGUACAAUGAUGAAUAGAAGAAGGCAUUGAGGCCUUGUUCUUGAUUUAAAGCCAUUACGUGUGAGUGCAUCUUCAUCCACCUUGGCGAGGCUAGUGUCUCGAUUGGCAAUGCCUGCCAGGAGCUCUACUACCUGGAACACAGCAUCCAGCGCGAUAGCCCAAUGCCAAGUGACAAGACCACUGGGUAAGGAGAUAAUUGAUUCUACGCCUCUUCAGUGAGCAGGCAAGUUUGUGUCCAGGGCAGUGUUUAUAAACCUGGAACCCAUAGUCACUGAUGAAGUUUGCACGGGCACCUACCACCAGCUCUUCCACCCUGAGCAGCUCAUCACAGACAAGGAAGAUGCUGCCCGUAACUAUGCCUGGGGGCAUCACCACAUUGGCAAGAUCACUGGCCUCGUCUUGGA